AUGGAGACUCUCCUGAAAGUGCUUUCAGGCACCUUGUUGUGGCAGUUGACCUGGGUGAGAAGCCAACAACCAGUGCAGAGUCCUCAAGCCGUGAUCCUCCGAGAAGGGGAAGAUGCUGUCAUCAACUGCAGUUCCUCCAAGGCUUUAUAUUCUGUACACUGGUACAGGCAGAAGCAUGGUGAAGCACCCGUCUUCCUGAUGAUAUUACUGAAGGGUGGAGAACAGAAGGGUCAUGACAAAAUAUCUGCUUCAUUUAAUGAAAAAAAGCAGCAAAGCUCCCUGUACCUUACGGCCUCCCAGCUCAGUUACUCAGGAACCUACUUCUGCGGCACAGAGA